rnacentral:lncRNA from 1 species
AUAAAUUUAAAUUAUACAUACUAUUAAAAAACUUAUUUAGGUAUUCUUUUUUUGUUGUUUUUGUUCUUAGUGUUUUUUAGAGACAGGGUGUCUCUCUGUCACCUGGGCUGGAGUACAGUGGCACCAUCAUAGCUCACUCCAGCCUUGAACUCUUGGACUCAAGUGAUUCUCCUGCUUCAGCCUCCUGAGUAACUGGGACUACAGGAAUCCUGCUCUGGCCAGUGAUGAAAUUACAGACAGCAGAGUCCAGCCUCGCCUAUGUGACCUGAGAGGGGAAACCUCUCUUUUGGAUCCCCAGCUUUGGAAAAUCUUCCGUGCCUCUCUGCCAGGGCCUUGUCCUCAGUUGCCUUCCUGAUCUGGGACCAACUGACAAGCCUUGAACUGUUUACUGCCCCCUCCCUUCCCACUGGAAUGCAUCUAUUGACUUUGCAUCUGUUGACUCGCCAAUCAAGCCAACAGCAGCAGGAGGAAGGGGCCACAAGCUAGGAAAUGCAGGAAGCUUCCAGAAGCAAGGAAAGGCAAGGAAGCAGAUUUUUCCCUGAAGCCUCCAAAAGGACCACAGCCCUGCUGACAUCCCAAUUGUAAGACUUUUGACCUUCAGAACUGUAAGAUAAUAAACCUGUGUUGUUUUAAGCCACAAGUUGGUGGCAGUUUGUUA